rnacentral:rRNA from 1 species
AACGAACGCUGGCGGCAUGCCUAACACAUGCAAGUCGAACGAGACCUUCGGGUCUAGUGGCGCACGGGUGCGUAACGCGUGGGAACCUGCCCUUAGGUUCGGAAUAACUCCCCGAAAGGGGUGCUAAUACCGGAUAAUGUCCUCGGACCAAAGAUUUAUCGCCUUUGGAUGGGCCCGCGUUGGAUUAGCUAGUUGGUAGGGUAAAAGCCUACCAAGGCGACGAUCCAUAGCUGGUCUGAGAGGGUGAUCAGCCACACUGGGACUGAGACACGGCCCAGACUCCUACGGGAGGCAGCAGUGGGGAAUAUUGGACAAUGGGCGAAAGCCUGAUCCAGCAAUGCCGCGUGAGUGAUGAAGGCCUUAGGGUUGUAAAGCUCUUUUACCCGGGAUGAUAAUGACAGUACCGGGAGAAUAAGCUCCGGCUAACUCCGUG